rnacentral:misc_RNA from 1 species
GGGGGUUAGAUCGCGCCGCCAUCGCUAAUGCUUUUAAGGAGAGCCGAAGACCCUAGGGUCGCCCGGCAGCCCCCAAAAUCCAAGCCAAACCCUCGAAACGAAUCGAGGGAUGGUUGAGAAUUAAAUGACACUCAAACAGGCAUGCUCCUCGGAAUACCAAGGAGCGCAAGGUGCGUUCAAAGAUUCGAUGAUUCACUGAAAAUCUGCAAUUCACAUUACUUAUCGCAAUUCGCUGCGUUCUUCAUCGAUGCGAGAGCCAAGAGAUCCGUUGCUGAAAGUUGUAUUAUGGUUCUUUACCGUCGCCGACCGGGCACGAAGCCAAGCCGUCCGACGCUUUUAGAUACAUUCCUAGACAUACGUAGUGUUUAUGUGAAGACAUAGAUCCCCUCGCGGAGACCUACAAUGGGUGCACGGGUGUGAAGAAAGGGUUUUCCAAAGGAAAGGCAAAGGAGGACUAAGGAGAACUCGGAACGUGCACAUGCCUUCGUUUCCAAAGGCCAGCGACAAUCCCUACGAUCUACCAAACUUCGCUCGGUCGCCUCC